AUGUGCUGCACACUGCACAGUAAUGCAGCUAUGACUAGGAAUAGGGCCUACGGCUGAUUUUGAUCGGUGUUUCCGACCAAUUUUUUUUAGAUAAAUUUCUCCAGUGGAAUUUUAAGUUUAUAAAAUCAUGGAACGGAAACCUUACCAUGCACUGGCCUCAAAACAGAGGAAACGGAGGAGAAUUAAAUAUUUUUGCAAUAAUUUUGUCAGUGCUGACCGUGCAUGCACUGAUGGCAGUAUGGUGGUUGACACUGGUUCUCAUCCUGAAGAAAACUAUAAUUUUCCAUAUUCAAGUGACUUUGCUGUUGAAAAUUUCCCUGUUGACAACAUUUCAAGUAAUAAAGACGAAUCAUUCUCAGAUGACAUUUACAGCGUAAGCGUUUCUGAUGACGAAUUUGAGGGCAGAAAAGCACCAAGCCCGUUCACACAAGAAGAAAAAUUGCGCAAAGCUCUCCGUUCUUGGGCUCGAGAAGAAAAGACAGUUUCUGGAUCUUCUAUUAAUAGGCUGCUGAGAAUUUUGCACCCAGACUUCCCAAGUCUUCCGUUGUCAGUAAGCACAUUACUUAAUGAUAAAGAAAAUGCUGCUGAGGUACGCCAAAUGUUUUAUGGGCGUUAUGCUCAUUUUCCCUCAUGGAUAGAGUGUGUUCUCCAGCACCUGAAACAAAAUCAGAAGAUUCAAUCUUUGAGUGCUAUCAUCAAUGUUGAUGGCAUCCCGCUGUUCAACGACACUCGUAGGUAUCACGCUUGGCCCAUUCUUCUCAGCUUUCUAGAGAUAUCCGGAAAAAUAUUUGUUCCUGGGAUUUACAUUUCAGAAGAAGUAACAUCAAAUAAAAUGCCAAGUCCAGAUGUGUUCUUAGAAAGGUUUGUGACUGAAAUUAAAGUUUUACAAGAAAAAGGUUUGGAGGUUAAAAAGGCGAUCAUUCCUUUCAAAAUUGAGGCAAUAUCAUGCGAUGCACCUGCAAGAUCUGACCUGAAAAAUACCGUGAAUCACAACAGCUACCACGGCUGCGAGAGGUGUGUUCAAAAGGGGACGUACGCAGGUGGCCAUGUUGUCCUUGGUGAAACCGAUGCUGUGCUGAGAACAAAUUUUAGCUUUAGGAAUAAGGCUGAUAAGAAUCACCACAAACCGACCGUAGAAUCGACACCGCUGUUAACCUUGGACAUUGACAUGGUUCACGAUUUCCCAAUCGAUAUAAUGCACGGCGCAUUCCUCGGUGUAAUGAGACGUUUAUUGCAUCGGUGGCGCGGCAGCAAGACAGGUGAAAAGAAAUGCCAUCUCUCAGUGGACUUGAGAGAAUCAUUUGAUUCCAAAAUAUUGGGGAUUUGUCGAUCUGUGCCUCGCGAAUUCUCUCGAAAAAUGAUCGGUGGUUUCAGAUCUCUCUCGUUUUGGAAAGCUUCUGAAUACCGCUUGUUUGCCGUUUACAUGGGGAUUUAUGUGUUGAAGAAUAUCUUGCCUGAAAAUUUAUACACGCACUUUCUGAAAUUUAGCGUUAGCUUAAGAAUAUUGUUGACUCCCAAUCAAGAAGUGAAUAUUCCCGUGGUGAAAAAAUUACUUGUAGAGUUUGUCGAAGAGAGUAAAGAACUUUACGGUUCUGGGUUCCUUUCGUUUAAUGUGCACAACCUCGUACAUUUGCCUGAUGAUUACUUAAGGUUUGGAAGUUUAGAUCACGUCUCGUGCUUCCAGUUUGAAACCUUCCUUGGAAGCCAUAUAAAAAAAUGUGUGAUCGGAAGAAAUAAGGUUUUAGAGCAAAUUACGAAGCAUGUUAAUUUGUCGAACCAUCACCUUGUACCAACACCCAAUCACGGAAAUGUCUUGACUCUGGGAAUAGCCUGCCGAAAAUGUGACAACGUAAGUGAAACGUGUUACAAGUCAAUGAAAAUAGGACACGUAACAUUUAAUGCAUCACGUGAAGCAACUGCUAAUAAUGGCGUCGUUCUGAGCAAUGGUGAUAUUGGCUAUAUUACUAAGAUAACAAAAUCUGAUAUUUGUGUAAAUUCUUUCAUAAAUGUCGAAAACUUGUUUAACCUUCCUGUAGCGUCAAGGAAUGUAGGAGUGUACAAAGUAACAGGGGUGCGUCAGAAUAUUUGGGUGGCGUCGAGCAGGAUUUUUGCCAAAGUAAUUCUUAUACCGAAUAGAAAGUCGUUCGUCGCGAUAAAAAUGUUGAAUUCAGGGUGUACUAAAUAAUAUAUUCCACUCUAUCGAAAAAAAAACAGAUGAAUGAUUGUGAAAUGGAUUUAAAGGAUUGCAAAAAGUUUGUAGGAAUUUAUUUUGAUCGCAAGGAGUGGCAAGUUGUACCGAAAUGUUGGCUCUUCGAAAAAGAUGGCUCAAACUUUUGCCUGUGGCCUACGGAAGAAAACGUCGUGGAUCUGGCUAUGAUGUCGAAGCCUGCGGACUCAAGGAGUUGGCCAAGAUAUGCCAUUUAUCGAAUCGCCGAGUCUUCGGAUGAUUACAAUAGAGCCGUGAAGAAAAUGUUGUAUGGAAGUUCUAGUCAGAGUGAGAGGUCUGAGGAUGAACCAUCUACAUCUAAUGCAAACUGUGACGAUCUUGGGGUGGCGACGAACUCUUCUGGCUUCCAUAGGGGAAGAAGUUGCACACCAAGCCCAAAAAGAUCGAGAGGACGUGGAGGUUCAAGGUUGGCGGCUUUUACUCCACGACGUAGUCCUCGCCAAAAUCAAAUGUUGAGCACAAGGAAGUCAUUGAGAGGUAAAUUUAACGCCUCCGGAGCCUUUUCCGCCCCACGGUCUACACCCGUACAACGACAACUUCUUUUGGAACCCACUCACGAGUUUUUCCCUUCUUUGUAAGUUGCCCUUAACGUUGUGAAUGUCAUUUCCGUCUUUGAAAUUUAUAACAAAAUUAUCACAUCCAGUAAUUGUGAUUUGAAAGACUUUAAUGUUAGGACUGCAUCAUUCAUUUUCGCCGUGAUGCGUAACUAAAAAAGCAAAUGCAUUAUUUCCUUCUGACCCGGCAACAUCAAGAAGGUAUAGAAAUGAGUUUCGCGCUCAGUAUAGAUCUCACAUAACGAAGCCCGAAUAUUUUCUUGAUAAAUACCUUGUCUACACUGUGGCAAGUACUGGCAAUAUUGAACGCUGAACCGCAUGUGCAACAAAUUACGUAAUAUACAGUCAACGUAGAAAAAGCUUUUCCUCAAAUCGUACCUGUAAAUUAUUACGUAUUUUUAAUAUUCACUUCUUAACAUUCCGUGUUA